UUUGAGGUGAAUUGAUUUAUGUUUGGAUACACUUUCUUACAGGUGAUUCUUCUGAGUUGAUGUUGUUUGGAUAA
rnacentral:pre_miRNA from 1 species